UACGUAGGGUGCAAGCGUUAAUCGGAAUUACUGGGCGUAAAGCGGGCGCAGGCGGUUAUGUAAGACAGAUGUGAAAUGCCCGGGCUUAACCUGGGAACUGCAUUUGUGACUGCAUGGCUAGAGUUUGGCAGAGGGGGGUAGAAUUCCACGUGUAGCAGUGAAAUGCGUAGAUAUGUGGAGGAACACCGAUGGCGAAGGCAGCCCCCUGGGUCAAGACUGACGCUCAUGCACGAAAGCGUGGGGAGCAAACAGG
rnacentral:rRNA from 1 species